GGGGCUAGGAGGAGGCGGAGGAUGGGGCAGGAAGUGCGACCGGGACAAAGGAACCGGCUGCGCGGGAGCGCGCCUGAGGGAGGCCGCGGGGGGCAGGGCCGGGACUGCGUUGAGACAGUCGCCGUGCCUCAGUUUCCUCCUCUGCGAAGGGCGGGAGGAGUCGGACGCGCCCUAGAGCCCCGCGCGUUCCUGGUGUAGCCUGCUGGGCCCGUGUUCUUUAAGUUCCUCUUCCUCGGAGCCGCGCGUUCGACCCUCGCUCCCGUUUGUCCACUGAUGUCCCGUUUCGAGCCCGGGAGAUCCUGCAUCUCGGAAGCCCCCUGAGUCCCGAGGCAAAUCGGGACCGUGAGCCCCCCUACCCUGCAGGGCUCCAUGGGGCCAAAAACCACGUGGUCCUUCUGGAAGGGAACUGGCUAAGCCAGGACUGCUUUUCUGGAGUGAUAAUGUGCUUGCCUGUGUCUAAGAGAAAGGUGAAGAAUUGGGAAACCCAUGGGUGUCACGAAGGGUGGUGAGACUGGGGAACGUUUUAGAAAACCUGGAGACAGCUUCCCAAGGCUGGAAAGAGGGGAGUGCGGAACAUGCCUCCACCAUACCACUGCCCACCUCCUGUGACCUCUGCAGCAAAACCUGAAGCCCCAAAGAGGCAGCUUCUCAAAGUAAAAGUGGAAUGAAGGUCAGGUUGGUCUAAAAACCCAUCCAACAAUUUGUGGAAAGGGUUUACAUCAUUUUGUUAUUUGUAUGUCAUUGCUUUUUGCAUCAUAUUGUUUGUCCUUACAAAACAAAUCUGGACACAGCAAGUUGUUCAUUCGCAGAGAAAGAAAGCUUACUCACACUUCCUGUCAUCCAGCAGCAAAGAAUACUGACCACAGAGUGACCUUUAAGUGUAAGGCUUUAAUGAGUAUUAGGCUGAAUGCCUGUUUUCCAACCUGGUGCAAAAUAUUUAUAUUUUAGAAAUUGUGAUUUUUAACAUUACUGCAAGAAAGAGGGGCUUCUAUUUCCUUUUUCCUCUAUUUAGUCCCUAGAUUAAGAAUUGGCAAUUUUUUUCUACAAAGGACCAAAUUGUAAAUAUCUUUGACUUUGCAAACCAUGUGAUCUCUGUUGCAACUGCUCAACUGCCUUUGUCUUGCAAAAGCAGCUGUGGAUGAUAUGUAUGCAAAUAAACAUGGCUGUGUUCCAAUAAAACUUUAUUUUCAAAAACGGGAAGUCAGCCAGAUUUUGUUCGCAGGUCUUGGUUUGCCCUAGAUCACUGUUUUUUCCCCCCGAGUUUAAAAUCAUCAUUUUUUUGUUGGUUUUAAACCCAUGCCAGAGCAAGAGAACUUCACAAUUUUCUAUGGGUAUACUGUGUUUUAGUUAUUUGGAUGAUUGUCCAAAGAAUCAGUCCACAAUAGGAAUUAUUGUUACCUGUUUUGUGUUUCCGUUGGUUCCAGAGAGGAAUAAUCUUAUCAAGUCAUGUAGGUUAAAAAAUUAAAAUUAGUAAAACUAUAGCAAUAGAAAAAUAAAUUUAAUGUUUUUAAACCUUGCAUUUAAAAGGUAAAUUUGGCGGGGGGCGGUGACUCACACCUGUAAUCCCAGCAUUUUGGGAGGCUGAGGCUGCUGGAUCGCUUGAGCCCAGGAGUUCACGACCAGCCUGCACAACAUGGCAAUACCCCAUCUCUACAAAAAAAUACAAAAAUUAGCUGAGCAUGGUGGCGCACACCUGUAACUACCUUGAGGGGCUGAGGUGGGAGGACCCCUUGAGCCUGGGAAGUCAAGGCUGCAGUGAGCCGAGAUGGUGCCACUGUACUCCAGCCUGGGUGGUAGGGUGAGACCUUGUCUCAAAAAUAAAUAAAUAAAUAAAAUAAACGGUAAAUUUGAUUAAGAAAAAGAAAGAUGCAAAGUGAACUGUGAGUAGAUGGAGGGAUCAUAAAUUUGGGGGACCAAUAAAUAUUUUCCUCACUGUGGUGGGGAAAUUGAUAGGUGAAAUAAUAGAGUAGCUGUUAUUUUAAGUCUGUAGGAAUUUUUGCCCAAUGACAAAUGUGGAAUUCAAAACCCGUUUAUAGGUUGUGCCUGACUAGUUUUCUUUUUCUUUUCUGAUUAAUAACAAUGUAUUAUUAUAUGUUUAAAAAAUCUGGACUUACAUAGCAUCUUAAUAAUUGCUCAUAUACAGCAUUAAAUGCACAGCUGUCUUAUUUAAACUUAAAAAGAAACUCCAUUUUGGUGAUAGCUAUUAUCAUCUCUUAUAGCAUGACCAAAAAGCAUCCUCAGAAAUAUAAGCCUACCUCACAUGUACAUGGUAACCUUGGAAAUUAGGGUGUGUCGGCAUUAUUAUUCUUACUUUCAGAUAUAAAACAGCAUGGAGACUGAUUUUUCCCAGGUCAUAUGUCUAGUGACCUGCAGAUUUUUGGACCCCAAGUCCACAUUCUUAUACUACACCACAGUUACCAAAUUGCCUUUGUUGACAUGUAGACUUUUCAAUUUGCAAUUGCUUUACACAUUUAAAAAAAUUGUGAAUAAAAGAACAAACUAUUUCAGUUUUCAGUUGCAACUUACAGAACAAUUAAAUCAUAACAAAAACAUAGUAUGUGUUUUGGGUGUAUCACUUAAAUGAGUAGAAUAAAGGGAUAGAAAUCAAUAUGUAUGUGGACUUGUUCUUCUUUUCUUUUUCU
rnacentral:lncRNA from 1 species